ACUAAAUAGAUACCCCGGUAGUCCACGCAGUAAACGAUGAUUACUCGCUGUUUGCGAUACACAGUAAAGCGGCUUAGCGAAAAAGCGUUAAGUAAUCCACCUGGGGAGUACGUUCGCAAGAAUGAAACUCAAAGGAAUUGACGGGGGCCCGCACAAGCGGAGGAACAUGUGGUUUAAUUCGAUGAUACGCGAGGAACCUUACCCGGGCUUGAAAUGCAUCUGACAGGAGCAGAGACGCUCUCUCCCUUCGGGGCAGAUGUGUAGGUGCUGCAUGGUUGUCGUCAGCUCGUGCCGUGAGGUGUCGGCUUAAGUGCCAUAACGAGCGCAACCCUCAUCAUUAGUUGCCAUCAGGUAAAGCUGGGGACUCUAGUGAGACUGCCAUCGUAAGAUGAGAGGAAGGUGGGGAUGACGUCAAAUCAGCACGGCCCUUACGUCCGGGGCGACACACGUGUUACAAUGGGUGUACAAAGGGCAGCUACAUGGCGACAUGAUGCUAAUCUCCAAAACCACUCUCA
rnacentral:rRNA from 1 species